GAUGACGAUCGUGACUGGAGUUCAGACGUGUGCUCUUCCGAUCUAAGUACUUCCAGGUGACCGAUAGCGGACUAGUACCGUGAGGGAAAGGUGAAAAGAACCCCGGAAGGGGAGUGAAAUAGAACCUGAAACUGUGUGCCUACAAGAGGUCGGAGCAUCCUUGUGGUGUGACGGCGUGCUUUUUGCAUAACGAGCCUGCGAGUUGCUCGUAUGCGGCGAGGUUAAGCGAUGAGCGGAGCCGUAGCGAAAGCGAGUCCGAAUAGGGCGUUUUAGUCGUAUGCGGCAGACCCGAAACUGAGUGAGCUACCCAUGGGCAGGUUGAAGCGGGGGUAAGACCUCGUGGAGGACCGAACCCACGUAAGGUGAAAUUUGCGGGGAUGACCUGUGGGUCGGAGUGAAAGGCUAAUCAAACUCAGUGAUAUCUGGUUCUCUCCGAAAUAUAUUUAGGUAUAGCCUCCGGUAAAUUUGCGUGUCGGCUGUAGAGCUACUGUUUGGUCUAGGGGCCCUACCAGGUUACCGAAACCAGGCAAACUCCGAAGACCGAUACGUCUACCCGGGGAGUCAGUUGCUGGGGGAUAAACUUCAGCGUCAAAAGGGAAACAGCCCAGAUCGCCGGCUAAGGUCCCUAAGUGCAUGCUAAGUGGGUAACGAUGUCUGAGUGCAUAGACAACCAGGAGGUUGGCUUAGAGGCAGCCAUCCUUGAAAGAGUGCGUAACAGCUCACUGGUCUAGUGUUCGGGCGCGGACAAUUCAACGGGGCUCAAGCAUGCCACCGAAGCUGCGGGCUUCACCUUUGGGUGGAGCGGUAGGAGAGCGUUCCCGUGUCGUUGAAGCGGCCGCGUAAGCGAGUCGUGGAGAAGCGGGAAGUGAGAAUGCAGGCAUAAGUAACGAAAGAAGAGUGAGAAUCUCUUCCACCGAUUUCCUAAGGAUUCCUGAGCAACGUUCGUCGGCUCAGGGUUAGUCGGGACCUAAGGCGAGGCCGAAAGGCGUAGUCGAUGGAUAACAGGUUGAUAUUCCUGUACCGCGUCGCACCCGUUUGACUGAUGGGGGGACGAGUGAGGCUAGGGGUAGCAGGCGAUGGUUGUUCCUGCACCAAGUUGCGUAGGGGUGGGUCUAGGCAAAUCCGGACCCGCAUAACCUGAGGCACGAUGGCAGCUGGCGUUCGCGCCGGCGAGUCCCUGACGCCAUGGCUCCAAGAAAAGCCUCUAGGGAGGUUGCGCGCGCCCGUACCAAAACCGACACAGGUGGGAAAGUAGAGAAUACUAAGGUGAUCGAGAUAACCCUCGUUAAGGAACUCGGCAAAAUUGCUCCGUAACUUCGGGAGAAGGAGCGCCCCGGUAACGUGAAGCCCUUUCGGGUGGAGCGUGAGGGGGCCGCAGUGAAUAGGUUCAACCGACUGUUUACCAAAAACACAGGUCUCUGCAAAGUCGUAAGACGACGUAUAGGGGCUGACGCCUGCCCGGUGCCGGAAGGUUACGUGGAGUUGUUAGUCGCAAGGCGAAGCAGCGAAACUAAGCCCCGGUAAACGGCGGCCGUAACUAUAACGGUCCUAAGGUAGCGAAAUUCCUUGUCGGGU
rnacentral:rRNA from 1 species